CUCUCUCUCCUCUUUCCCUCUGUCUCCCACACACCCCGCCCAGCGACCCAGCGCUCUCACUGGAGGCUCGCGGGCGGCAUGGGGGACACUUCGCUGUCCUUGCCUGCUCUCCACCCGGGGGCGUAGAGGGAGGCCUUCCAGACCCUAGCGAAGCUGCGGAAUCCAGCAGGACGUGCGCGCGGGACCCUCCCAGUCAGGGAGACGGGAAAGGCUGCGGACCGCAGAGCGCUCGGGACCGCUUCCCCCUCGGCGCAGACCAGCCUCCUCCGGUGGAAACGCAGCAGCUGUUUUAACAAUUGAAAAGCAGCCCUACAGGACCAGCGAGCAGUGUGUGAAGCCAUUAAGGCUGACUAGGACAUUUACUCUGAUACCCCGGUGGAAGAAAGAUGGGAGAGGAGGUCAUUUUCAGAGGAAAAAGGUCUGAAGGAAGCAGAAGUGCCACCUGGGAGCUGGGACAGUCCCAGAGAUGUUUAGGAAGUGGAAGUGCCAGGGCUGGUGCUCACGGCCCAGCAGGGGGUGCAGGGAGGGGGCGUCCAGGGGACUCUGUUUUCUGGCUGGGCAGGAGGCAGGCGAUGGUGCAGGUACCAGGAGAAGCGCCCCACAGAAGGCAGACCUGGGAGCAGAGUGUGCAGCUCUGGGGUGCCCCUGUGAUGUCUGCAGGUGGCCCUGGGGUUGGUAGCCAGAGAGGAGUUCCUGGAGAGAGGGCCCAAGAGGGAAGGGACCUCAGGAGGCCUCAGCACGCAGGUGCUUGCACAGUCAGGGAGAGGAGGAAGGCAGGCCGGGAGGGAGGACCAGGGGAUGGGCACAGAUGCUGGGCACCUGAAGGGGAAGAGGGCUGUGAAAGAUAGAGGUGAAGGCCGGAGCGGGCAGUGCUAACACGGCGGGCAGAUCAGUGUCCCCGGGAGCCUGGCCUGGUGGCCCUAGUUCAUGUGGGCGGGGUGUGAAGGAGCAGAUGGUAGGGCAGAGGCCUGGGGUCCUGGGGACAGAGGCUGUGAACUCACAGACCUCGCAGUCUGGCCCUGAGGGAGAGGCGUGCAAGGAGAGCACUGUAGCAUGGUAGACACCUCCUGCUGGCUUCUCUUGAGUCACCUGGUCUGGGUUACCUGGUGCCUAGGGAGGAGCAGUGGAGAGGGAGGCCCAAAGGCCAAAGCAGAGUGGGGCUGGUCGAGUUCUCAGAGGUCAGUUCUCUCCUCAGGACAGCAGGGCCUCAGUCCACCCAUGAGGGUCACAGUGUUGGUAGAGUUCACAUAAACCAGUGACUGUGGAUUGCCACCAGGAAGAAGCUGCGGCCUAUGGCUCUGAAUCACUCAUGAACCACAGACCUGCGUCUAUGGACAGGUCUUGAAAGAGCUCCGUAAAGGGGACAUUCACGAGAAUUCCUAAAACAAAACAGAACAAAAUGUCCGUGAUUUCAAAUCAGGAUUUGCAUGUAUCAAUGUACCCUGUUUUUCUUUUCAAAAAAUGGGCCACUGGUGAACCAGUGGCAUUGACUAUUUAAAACAUGUGUCCUUGGGGUAUUUAAAGGGGCAUCAGACAGCACUUGGAUAUUUAGCCAGACAGACUUAUAAUCCUAGAGUCUGACAAUUAUUUGCCAUAGGACAAAACUUCUCUGAGCAUCAGGGUUUUUCAAAUAAAAAUGGAACCAACUAUAACUGAUUUACUGAUUUUGUAGCAUUGGAUAACAGAACUAUGCAAGUGCGGGGCACGUUCUACUUAUAUGGGAAUUUGCUUUUUAAACGAGGAGAGGCACAGAUAUUCACUCAAUAGGAAAAGCCAGUCCACAAUGAUUAAAAGGUUAAGAAUGCGAUCUUGGGCUGUUUAGGAGGCCUUCCAGUGCCAGCCUGCAGCCGGCCUCCCGUGUGGUCCACAGACCCCUGGGGCUCCUCAGAGCUGGCUUUCCUGGGAGGUCUGCAAGGCCAGAGCUGUUUUUGACUGAAUUCUGAGACAUUAGCUUGCCUUUAAAAAAAAAAUACUGUGUUGACAUUUGCACUAAUGGUACAAAAACGCUGGUGGGAAAGCGGCCGGCACCUUGGCUAGAUCAAGCAGUGGCACUAGGCUGUCCUCAUUGUUGUUUUAUUUUUUACUGCCACAAAUGUCAGGUCCACUUAGGAACGUCUUUGAUGAAGCAAUAAAAAUUAUUUAAUUAAAUUUUAGCCCUCGCCUGUGACUUUUAAUUGUUCUCUGUGGCAAAAUGUGGGCGUACAGAGCUGUCCUUACGUGCCAGGGUGCGCAGCGUAGUCCUGAACCAGUCCUGGGGCAGCCUAGCUGGGGGCUGGGCUGGCUGCUGGCCUCAUGAACAUGCUUUGCCCAUUACUUGAGACACAGCUGACUACUGUGCUUCUUCAGGCUCUACAUUGGCAGAUUUUUUUUUUCUAAAUGAAUGGAAUUAGCCUGUGUUUCAAGGUAAACCACCUGCAAUAUGUAUUUUCAGUAAAAACAAUUAUAAGCAGAAUUUAGAGAACUUGUAUCUGCCACCGAGCUUCCCAAUACAGUCUUCUCUCCUAAAGUCUGAUCAUUCCACUUAAUGUGGUUUUAGACAUUGUACAGUAAAAAGUAUUACCAUAUGAAAGAUUUGCAUGACAUGGCAAAACAGCAUUUUCAAAUGAUUAGUAAUACGUGGUGUUAUAAAGCUCUGCGUCAAUCAAAAAUCCAUUCAAAGGGCAAGAUAGACCAACAGAUCUCAGCAUAGCACAGUAAGAAAAGCUGACGAGGAGGUUUCAUAUGCCCCAUUGCUGUCACAAGGUUUGAGAAACGGCCACUUGUUGAGUUUUGGUGUAACACUGAAGAGUAAUAUCCAGAAUUGUUUGGAAAAGUUGCUAAAAUGCCUCUCCAUUUUUCAACUGUAUAUCUGUUCAAAACCAGGAUUUCCUCGUUUACUUCAAACAAAACAACAGAGAGCAGCGGAUUGAGUACAGAAAUGCCAGGAGAGCAGCUUCAGUCUGUGAAGCCGGACAUUGAGGAGGGUUACAGAAAUGAAAAACAGGCCACUUUUCUCCCUGAACUGAUUUCUUUGUAAAAUUUAUUUUUUAGAGGAUGAUGUUAUUUCUGUUAACAUGUAGUUGGUUAGUGGAGUUGCUUUGGAAUGAUUGAUAAAUAUUUUAAAGAUUUCUAUUGUAAUUAAAAAUAGAUUGAAUUAUGAUAGAA